ACUCAUCUCCCUAAUAUCUAACUUCCCAGUUCCCCCACUCACUUCCCAUUUACCCCAUUCACACUCCCACUUUCACCACUCAUGUCCUCCACUAACAUUUUUUCCCCUCCAAGCAUUCACUUACACGCAGAUUGCAUUAUAUAUCUUCAUAUACAUAGCAAUAGAAGUGGGUGGGGAUAUAGGAAGAGAGGAAUAGAUCUAAAAGAAACAAAAACUGGGAUUGAGAGAAGAAAGGAGCAGCCAUAGCUUCACAAAAAUAGAGUUUGUGAUCUCUUUUUCUUCCUCCAUUAACAUAGCUUCAUAGUAGUACACAAAGCAGUCCCCAAACCCUCUUCUUCCUCCAAAAGGCUCCAUUAAACCACCAAAAAACGUGCUCAAAACAACCACUAUUCCACCAGCCUCAAAACACCUACUUCCUCCUCCAAAACACCAUCGUUUUAGCCCAAAAAACGCAACCAAACACAGCUGCAAAAUCGCUGAAUAAACUAGUCCAAAAUACCAGCCAAACACCUCAUUUUUAACUCCAAAAAACCUUGAAAAUGCAGCUAAAAACCAGCCCCGAAAUCCAGGUGAAAGCAGCCCCAAAAUACCAACCAAAAGCACCACGAAACAGCCCCUCAAACCCAGCAAAAUCAGUCAGAAAAGUGGAGUGUGAGGUUGCCGUUGAGGUCGCGAUCGAGUUCCAGUCAAGGCGCUCGUCCGCUGGUCUUGUGCGUUUUCACUUGAUGAUUUUGAAACCUUGGCUUUCACUGUACGCUCAUCACUAAUAAAGUGGAGCAGAGCAUAAGCAGAAUUAUGCCACGCACAAUCUAAUAAGUAGUCAAAUAGUGAUUGCAUGAAUAAGUAGUCAGGAAAAAUGGACCUGAAGAAAGUGAAGCCAAUUAAUUUCCAGCUGGAGCCUAAAUUAGACCAAGCUGUGCAACUGUCUUACAACCACAAAGCUGCGUCGGUGAUUGGAACAUAAAGCCAUGAUAUAACGCCACUAUUUGGAUAUAUGUAGGUAGAUUUGAUUUUUUUUGGCUCUUUUACUGUUGCUAUUCAAACACUGUGAUUCAUGAAGAUUAAUUACAUACAAAAAUUAUA